GAUGAAGAACGUAGCGAAAUGCGAUAAGUAAUGCGAAUUGCAGAAUUCCAGUGAGUCAUCGAAUCUUUGAACGCACAUUGCGCCAUUUGGCAUUCCGAAGGGCAUGCCUGUCCGAGCGUCAUUACAACCCUCAAGCUCAGCUUGGUGUUGGGCCCCGCCGCCCCGGCGGGCCCUAAAGUCAGUGGCGGUGCCGUCCGGCUCCGAGCGUAGUAAUUCUUCUCGCUCUGGAGGUCCGGUCGUGUGCUCGCCAGCAACCCCCAAUUUUUUUCAGGUUGACCUCGGAUCAGGUAGGGAUACCCGCUGAACUUAAGCAUAUAAUAAGCGGAGGA
rnacentral:misc_RNA from 1 species